rnacentral:rRNA from 1 species
UACGUAGGGUGCAAGCGUUACUCGGAAUUACUGGGCGUAAAGCGUGCGUAGGUGGUGCGUUAAGUCUGUCGUGAAAGCCCCGGGCUCAACCUGGGAAUGGCGAUGGAUACUGGCGCGCUAGAGUGCGGUAGAGGAGAGUGGAAUUCCCGGUGUAGCAGUGAAAUGCGUAGAGAUCGGGAGGAACAUCAGUUGCGAAGGCGGCUCUCUGGACCAACACUGACACUGAGGCACGAAAGCGUGGGGAGCAAACAGG